AACGACGCUGGCGGCAGGCCUAGCACAUGCAAGUCGAACGCUCUAGCAAUAGAGAGUGGCAGACGGGUGGGUAACGCGUGGGAACCUUCCCAGUGGUGCGGAAUAGCUCAGGGAAACUUGGGGUAAUACCGCAUGAGCCCGAAAGGGGAAAGAUUUAUCGCCAUUGGAUGGGCCCGCGUAGGAUUAGCUAGUUGGUGAGGUAAUGGCUCACCAAGGCAACGAUCCUUAGCUGGUUUGAGAGAAUGACCAGCCACACUGGGACUGAGACACGGCCCAGACUCCUACGGGAGGCAGCAGUGGGGAAUAUUGGACAAUGGGCGCAAGCCUGAUCCAGCCAUGCCGCGUGCAGGAAGAAGGCCUUCGGGUUGUAAACUGCUUUAGUCUAGGAAAAAGGGGUGCGAGGUUAAUACCCUCGUGCUUUGAUGGUACUGGAAGAAUAAGCACCGGCUAACUACGUG
rnacentral:rRNA from 1 species